GGCCUCGAAUCAGGUGGGACUACCCGCUGAACUUAAGCAUAUCAAUAAGCGGAGGAAAAGAACUAACAAGGAUUCCCCUAGUAACGGCGAGUGAAGCGGGAAAAGCUCAAAUUUGGAAUCUGGCAGUCUUUGACUGUCCGAAUUGUAAUCUAGAGAAGCGUUUUCCGUGCUGGACUGUGUACAAGUUUCCUGGAUACGGAACAUCAUAGAGGGUGAGAAUCCCGUCCUUGACACAGACCCCCAGUGCUUUGUGAUGCGCUCUCGACGAGUCGAGUUGUUUGGGAUUGCAGCUCAAAAUGGGAGGUAAAUUCCUUCUAAAGCUAAAUAUUGGCGAGAGACCGAUAGCGAACAAGUACCGUGAGGGAAAGAUGAAAAGCACUUUGGAAAGAGAGUUAAACAGUACGUGAAAUUGUCAAAAGGGAAACGCUUGAAGUCAGUCAUGUUUGCUUGGAUUCAGCCGUGCCUCGGUACGGUGCAUUUCCCUGCAAGCAGGCCAGCGUCCAUGUUGUUUGUCGGAAAAGGGGUGAAGGAAUGUGGCUCCUUUAGGAGUGUUAUAGCCUUUGCUCGCAUACGAGGAUCAAUAUGGAGUAGUACAGCAUGCUUCGGUGGUGCUUGUGCUGGCAUAAUGGCUUUAAACGACCCGUCUG
rnacentral:rRNA from 1 species